AUUGAACGCUGGCGGCAUGCCUUACACAUGCAAGUCGAACGGUAACAGGUCUUCGGAUGCUGACGAGUGGCGAACGGGUGAGUAAUACAUCGGAACGUGCCUAGUAGUGGGGGAUAACUACUCGAAAGAGUGGCUAAUACCGCAUGAGAUCUACGGAUGAAAGCAGGGGAUCGCAAGACCUUGUGCUACUAGAGCGGCCGAUGGCAGAUUAGGUAGUUGGUGGGAUAAAAGCUUACCAAGCCGACGAUCUGUAGCUGGUCUGAGAGGACGAUCAGCCACACUGGGACUGAGACACGGCCCAGACUCCUACGGGAGGCAGCAGUGUGGAAUUUUGGACAAUGGGCGCAAGCCUGAUCCAGCAAUGCCUCGUGCAGGAUGAAGGCCUUCGGGUUGUAAACUGCUUUGGUACGGAACGAAAAGCCCUGGGUUAAUACCCUGGGGUCAUGACGGUACCGUAAGAAUAAGCACCGGCUAACUACGUGCCAGCCGCCGCCGUAACAC
rnacentral:rRNA from 1 species